rnacentral:rRNA from 1 species
UACGUAGGGUGCAAGCGUUGUCCGGAAUUAUUGGGCGUAAAGAGCUCGUAGGCGGUCUGUCACGUCGGCUGUGAAAACCUGGGGCUCAACUCCGGGCCUGCAGCCGAUACGGGCAGACUAGAGUUCGGCAGGGGAGACUGGAAUUCCUGGUGUAGCGGUGAAAUGCGCAGAUAUCGGGAGGAACACCGGUGGCGAAGGCGGUUCUCUGGGCCUUACCUGACGCUGAGGAGCGAAAGCAUGGGGAGCGAACAGG